GUCGCCGCCGCCCUCAUUCGCUGUGUGAACGCUCUUCGUGCACGGCGGGGAAAUGAGCCCCGUGAGCGCAGGGGUCUUCCCCGAAGUUUCUGCAUUUUGCUGUCCCGCUGCUGCUCUGAGCAUCGCGAUCCGCGCGAAGUGGAAUGUGCUUCGAACAAGUGAACGCCAGUCUUUACCAUGCGUUUUCCAAAUCGCAAGCUUUUCUUUUUUGUGUGUGUGUAUGUGUGGUUAUUUUUGUGUUAUGGAUUGCAUCUUCGUGUUUUUUGUUACUUUUUGCAUCCUAGAGGCAUAAAUACAAGAAUUAUAUCUGUAGCAUAUAUAGAGGUCCGAAUGCAAUGUACACAACCAUUAGGGCAGUUCACAGUUAGGAGAAGGGCUGAAGCAUUGCCCAAAGAGGUAAAAUGCACUAAGAGAGAAGUCUGCUUUGUUUUAUAUGUUCUUAAAUGUUCUUCUGGUUGCCUUCCCAUGCUGCACUCUCUUCCAUAUGCUCUCUACACCCACCAACACACCCACCUACACACACACAAUUUACCAACAUACUUUAUGGCUUUGCUGAAUUGAGAUCCACACCACCAUUCAAAUAAGAUAAAACAAACAGCUGUUUUCUUUCUGCAGAACGAGCAUAUUCUGACUUGGCACUUGUGAAGCAUCUGAAAGAAGAUGCUUCUUGAAGAAGUUGACAGAAAUGUCUUACACCAGCGCAGUGUAACGCUGCAUGGAAGGCCCAGGUCUGAAGUAUGCUCACCUGGGUGUGCUGAGGAGCAUUGGGACAAUUUCCAGAGGGAUCUGGCAGGUGUGGGCCAUUACACCUCAUUAUGAAAAUCAAAAGGACUGAAAACAAAAGAGACAUCUCAGCUUGUCACCAUGCUAUUCCUCCUUGCUGUAUGUAUGGUAACUGUGAGUCACACCCUGAACCACUGAUUGAGCACCUGGGUAAAGGACCAGGCCAGCCCUAGGAGCACAGCUGAAGGCAAUUCACCUGUGCAACUGGAAGAGGUGGAGCCUGGCUGCACCUCUCUUAGACCCCCCCAUUUAAGGGCUGACUGGCCCUGGGAGAAGGAUCUCUGGUUGGAGAUCGUUCCUUUGUGGAGUCUUUCUUGUGAGCCUAGAUCUUCAGAGAUGGGUGAGUACUUCUCCUUUAUAACACCAUUCUAUCUUUGCUGGUCCCUUUGCUGUUAUGCUUUUCUGUCACCUUUUCACUGUACUGACCUUUUUGAUUGUAAUAAUGUACAACUCUGUUCUGCUUUGUGGUACAUAGCCACUGGAGCUACAGCAGAAAAUAUUCUCCCAAAAUAUGCCACUUACAGGAAAGGGUGCUUAGGUGGGAAGCAGAUAAAAGAAUAGUAACCAGUUCCCAGGUGCCUUGUCAGCUAGUAGAAUACAAAGAUCUGAAUGACGUAUAUGGCUUCCUUGUAAAGAGCACUGUGAGACACAAAUCCAAUGAAUGUGUUCCUUAAAUCCAUCUCUCUUCCCCAGAAUACUGAGAAGAUCCAUACUAUGUCUGCUAGUAGGAGUUACUGGCAAGUGUUGAUAUCUCUCUUUUGGCUCUAAUUUGGGCCUCAGGUUGCUGCAGUGUGAGUACUUCUCCAAAUAAACACAUCUGUUUUAUACCUUAAUCAAGAAAUACGUACGUUGUUGUAUGGUUACUUUCAAGUUUAUGAGAGAAGUUACAUGCCUCAGGAUAUGUACUCCUUCAGUUGUUUUUUAAUGUUUAUUUACAGAGCUGCCAUCCUGGUUCCCCAUGUUGCUAAUGUCAGCCAGCUCUCCUGGAGUCCUUUGAGAAGGACAACAGAAAACUACGGCAGCAACUAGAAUAAAUAGGGAAUAUGAACUACGUUUCUUCCUUUUUCACUCCAAGAAGGAAGACAAAGAAGUAUGGUACACUACAUCUGUGACAUGGUAAAAACCUCAGGUGGGAAGCAGAGAUUCCAACGCAGCAUACCAGUUGCUUUGAUGGUAGCAUGGAUGGAGUAAGUGUCAGUACUCAGAAGCUUAAUCUAGCUUUAUUGGUCUUUCAUACAAAAAAAAAAACCCUAAAUUUGAUAUUUCAGACCCUCACUAAAGUUAUUGCUUGAAUUUACUUAUUUUAAAAUGUAUUUGAACACUUGUUUCCUUUCAAGAAUGAGCCUGUCACUAAUAAAGCAGUUAAAAAGUAAAUUAUUUCCCUCUCUUUCUG
ensembl:lncRNA